UGGGUUGUGGCUCAGUGGUAGAGUACUUGCCUAGCAUGUAUGAGGCACUGGGUUCAAAUCUCAGCACCACAU
rnacentral:tRNA from 1 species